rnacentral:tRNA from 1 species
GGCUCCAUGAUGCAGUGGUUAUCAUGUUUGCUUUGUAUGCAGAAGGGCCUGGGUUUGAGCCCUAGUGGAAUCA